AAGUCGUAACAAGGUCUCCGUAGGUGAACCUGCGGAGGGAUCAUCAAAGAAUUAUCAUAAAACCACAAGUGUUUUGGGGGGAGAAAAGGGGUUUCACGACCUUUUUUCUCUUCUUGGCACUUCAAACAAACGAUCGCAACUAAAUCAUUGCAGUGUGGCUUUUCAUUAAGCUGUCUCUGUGUGUGUGUCUUGGCGAGGGGGGAGAGAAAACUUGAAAAAAGUGUUUGCCUGAUAAACAUUGGAUUGGAAUAAGAGAAAUAUACAACUUUCAACAACGGAUCUCUUGGCUCUCA
rnacentral:misc_RNA from 1 species